rnacentral:rRNA from 1 species
GACGUAGGGCGCAAGCGUUGUCCGGAUUUAUUGGGCGUAAAGAGCGUGUAGGCGGCCAGGUAGGUCGGUUGUGAAAACUGGAGGCUCAACCUUCAGAGGUCGACCGAAACCAUCUGGCUAGAGUCCGGGAGAGGAGAGUGGAAUUCCUGGUGUAGCGGUGAAAUGCGCAGAUAUCAGGAAGAACACCCGUGGCGAAAGCGGCUCUCUGGAACGGUACUGACGCUGAGACGCGAAAGCGUGGGGAGCGAACAGG